AGCACAACGUAAAAAAAAACCGGAAAAAAAACUAAAAAAAAACCUGAGGAGCCUGCCGCAGAAGAGGCCAUUACCGCUCGCAUUUAGGCGUCCUCCUCGUGAUAGCGUCAUUUAAAGAACGAGGGUCAGCACGUCGUAAAAAAUAUCGGAAAAAAAUCGU